GCAUUGUGCUCCUUUGCAACCCAGGCCAUUCUAUCAUUCUAUGAUUCCAGGCCUGCUGAUGAGGUCCUAGGCGUGCAUUGGGAAGUUCUGCACCUCCUCACUGCCAUCUCCAGCUGAGAAAUCCCUAAAGAAGUGCUUUGCACUUCAUCUUUACUCCUACCCUCCAUCUCCCAACCAGCAACCCACUGGAGCUCCCUCUUUGUGCAGCUGAAGGUCUGAGGGCUGCAGUUUCCUGAUUUCAGCCAAGCACUGGGCUGAUCCCUGAGCUUUUAGGACUUCUGUUUGAUCAGAUCUGCACAAGAUGUUACAGCUGAGUGACACCACGACAGGUUUGGGAUUUUCCAAGCAAGCCUGACUGCCUCAACAUGUCAGAAACAAACAGAAGCGGAGCUGCCACAAAUCUGUCUCAUUGCAAACAAGGGAGCACACCUCAACCGUAAAA